UACGUAGGCAGCAAGCGUUGUUCGGAGUUACUGGGCGUAAAGGGUGCGUAGGCGGCUUUUUAAGUUUGGUGUGAAAUCUCCCGGCUCAACUGGGAGGGUGCGCCGAAUACUGAGAGGCUAGAGUGUGGGAGAGGAAAGUGGAAUUCCUGGUGUAGCGGUGAAAUGCGUAGAUAUCGGGAGGAACACCUGUGGCGAAAGCGGCGCACUGGACCAUAACUGACGCUGAGGCGCGAAAGCUAGGGGAGCAAACAGG
rnacentral:rRNA from 2 species